rnacentral:rRNA from 1 species
CGUGGGUAACCUGCCCAAGAGAUCGGGAUAACACUGGAAACAGAUGCUAAUACCGGAUAACAACAGAUGAUGCCUAUCAACUGUUUAAAAGAUGGUUCUGCUAUCACUCUUGGAUGGACCUGCGGUGCAUUAGCUAGUUGGUAGGGUAACGGCCUACCAAGGCGAUGAUGCAUAGCCGAGUUGAGAGACUGAUCGGCCACAUUGGGACUGAGACACGGCCCAAACUCCUACGGGAGGCAGCAGGA